rnacentral:tRNA from 1 species
UUUAAUAUGGCAGAUUUAAGUGCAAUGAUGUUAAGUAUCAUAUAUGAAGUUAUUAUUAAUUUCUAUUAAAA